rnacentral:misc_RNA from 1 species
GAUCAUUAAAAAUGUGAGGGGUUGGCCGUAAGGUUGGCUCUUUCUUUUUAACCUGUGCACUGUUUAUUAGGCGUGGUAUUGAUUUUCAAUUCCCGCCGCCCGGGUGGCAUGAAUCAGUUCCCUUAGGGGGGCCGAGGAGUGCGCCCAAUUAUUUGACUAUUCUGACUGAUCAAACAAUGAAAUUGUUAACAUAUAAACAACUUUCAGCAAUGGAUCUCUCGGCUUUCGUAUCGAUGAAGAACGCAGCAAAUCGCGAUAUGUAGUGUGAUCUGCCUAUAGUGAAUCAUCAAAUUUUUGAACGCAUCUUGCACCCCUGGGUAUUCCUGGGGGUACGCCUGUUUCAGUAUCAUUAUUACCUCUCUUCAACCAACUUGUUGGUAGAUGGGAAACAUAACUACUGGCCCUGAGUCGCCUUUUAGGGGGCUUCACGGCUAAAAUGC